UCUUUUUGGCACACCGGGAAUUCAUGGGGAGUACUGGACUUCCUGCUAACACAUCCAGUACUUUUAGGAUGCCAAAUCCUAGGGCGGACGUGUAAAUGCUGUUUGCAGACCUAUAAAUACGUGAGCAUGCAAUCUUUUGGAUGACACAGGAAUUCGAGAGCACUCUUGGUCUCCCUUCUUUGGUUUCCAACUUGGCAUUUCCAGUCAAACUUCAGCAAUGCAGAUCAGCAUCUUUUACAUCAUUGCUCUUUCAGCGAUGCUCUUAGCUUCUCCAGGAUUCGUCCAUGCAGGGGAACCUCAUAAUUGCGAGGCUAUUGGUGGGUUAUGCAGGGCUGGAUGUGGGAUCAUCUUGCAGAGUGGAACUUGUCCUGGAGGGAAGAAAUGCUGUGAAGACACUACUAAAGGUUAAAAUGGAAAGAAACAUCUGCUUCUUUCAGCAAUGGCUAUAACCCAAGCAACGAGAUGGACGUGCUGCUAAUUUGGCCUGCGGAAAUACUUCCAUGAUGUGGGAAUUUUGAGAAAAUCUGUGUACUAUUUUGAAUAAAUAUUUGAUAUGUUGCUGGGAAA